ACCCCUUCCCCUGGUUAUGGGGCAGCAGAAAAAGAACCCACAUAUGGGAUCGUUAGGGUUGGGGGAGACCACUGAGAUUCCAGAGUCCAACCCCAGCCUGCCCCACCAUGACCCUAAAUAGGCUCGUAGAGUCAUUAGGGUCAGAAGAGACCUUUAGGGUCAUCCAGACCAACCCCAACCUGCCCCAUCAUGACCCCAAAUUGAACCGUAGUGUCAUUAAGGUUGGAUGAGCCUUCUAGGUUCCCCCAGUCCAACCCCAACCUAACCCACCAUGACCCUAAAUAGGCCCAUAGAGUCAUUAAGAUCAGAAGAGACCUUCAAGGUCAUCCAGUCCAACCCCAACCUUUCCUGACCAUGACCUUAAUUAGAAUCAUUAGGGUUGGAGGAGACCUCAAGGUCUGACACUCCAACCCCAACCUACCCCCACCAUGACCCCAAAUUGAACUGUAGAGUCAUUAAGGUUGGGAGAGACCUCCAAGGUCAUCCAGUCCAACCCCAACCUGCCCCACCAUGACCCUAAAUAGGCCCAUAGAGUCAUUAAGAUCAGAAGAGACCUUCAAGGUCAUCCAGUCCAACCCCAACCCUCCCUGACCAUGACCUUAAUUAGAAUCAUUAGGGUUGGAGGAGACUUCAAGUUUUGACACUCCAACCCCACCUACCCCCACCAUGACCCCAAUAGAACCAUAGAGUCAUCGAGGUUGGAAGAGCCUUCUAGGAUCCCCCAGUCCAACCCUAACCUACCCCCACCAUGACCCCAAAUUGAACCGUAGAGUCAUUAAGGUCGGGAGAGACCUUCAAGGUCAUCCAGUCCAACCCCAACCUUCCCUGACCAUGACCUUAAUUAGAAUCAUUAGGGUUGGAGGAGACCUCAAGGUCUGACACUCCAACCCCAACCUACCCCCACCAUGACCCCAUUAGAACCACAGAGUCAUCAAGGUUAUAAGAGCCUUCUAGGAUCCCCCAGUCCAACCCCAACCCACCCCACCAUGACCCCAAAUUGAACCGUAGUGUCAUUAAGGUCAGAAGAGACCUUCAAGGUCAUCCAGUCCAACCCCAACCUACCCCACCAUGACCC